UACGUAGGGGGCAAGCGUUGUCCGGAUUUAUUGGGCGUAAAGAGCGUGUAGGCUGCCAAACAGGUCCACUGUGAAAACUCGAGGCUCAACCUCGAGAGGUCGGUGGAAACCGUGUGGCUAGAGUCCGGAAGGGGCAACUGGAAUUCUCGGUGUAGCGGUGAAAUGCGUAGAUAUCGAGAGGAACACCUGCGGCGAAGGCGGGUUGCUGGGCCGACACUGACGCUGAUGCGCGAAAGCCAGGGGAGCGAACGGG
rnacentral:rRNA from 1 species